rnacentral:rRNA from 1 species
CCAAUCCCAGAAACCCUAUCUCAGUCCGGAUUGGAGUCUGCAACUCGACUCCAUGAAGUCGGAAUCGCUAGUAAUCGCAGAUCAGCAUUGCUGCGGUGAAUACGUUCCCGGGCCUUGUACACACCGCCCGUCACACCAUGGGAGUUUGUUGCACCAGAAGCAGGUAGCUUAACCUUCGGGAGGGCGCUUGCCACGGUGUGGCCGAUGACUGGGGUGAAGUCGUAACAAGGUAGCCGUAUCGGAAGGUGCGGCUGG